CCCAGAGCCAUAUCACCCUGCAGCUCUUGCCUGGUUUUCCACUGAAGCUAAGUAGGAUUGAGCCUGGCCAGUUCCUGGAUGAGUUACUCCUGGGGAAAACUAAGGCUGCUGCUGGAA
rnacentral:rRNA from 1 species